rnacentral:rRNA from 1 species
UACGGAGGGUCCAAGCGCUAUCCGGAAUCAUUGGGUUUAAAGGGUCCGUAGGCGGUUUUGUAAGUCAGUGGUGAAAGCCCAUCGCUCAACGGUGGAACGGCCAUUGAUACUGCAAGACUUGAAUUAUUAGGAAGUAACUAGAAUAUGUAGUGUAGCGGUGAAAUGCUUAGAGAUUACAUGGAAUACCAAUUGCGAAGGCAGGUUACUACUAAUGGAUUGACGCUGAUGGACGAAAGCGUGGGGAGCGAACAGG